GCGAGAUUAUACAAGUACAAUACUGUAAAAUGUAAAAUCUUUGGUAUUUCACCAAUGUAUUAGCUGGAUUUCCUUGUGAAAUAGCCAAAGGAGUAGAUCUUGGGUCAAUCUGAAAAGAAAAUGUUGAAAACCGUAGAAUAAUCUUGCCCAUGAGCCUAAAGCUCUAGAAUCUAGAUCAACAAAAUCUUGAGAACAAUAGAAAAAGUACUGGGCUGACCUUAAAAGUUAAAAGCAAUAGCAAGAUGAAGCUAUGGCUAACAGAGGUGGUACUUUGGGGCCUGCUGAUGCUGCUGGUAAUCAAAGAUGAUGAUAUGGCUUACCAAUAAACAAAGUCGACAAUGAAGUCUUGGCUUUCAUCGCAGAGCACUAGUAUUUGGUGAUGGUGAACAUAGAAUUUUAUUAUACUCUAUAUUAUGGAUUUCAUUGAAACUGGGCCGUCUGCUUCAACUACGAGUAAUUUGAAUAAUAUUGCUUUUAUUAUACUCUAUAUGGAUUUCAUGGAAGCUGGGCUGUCUGAUUCAAAGUACCAUACCGAUGACAAACUACGGAGUGCUGCUGAAUCAACAAUA